rnacentral:rRNA from 1 species
AUUGAACGCUGGCGGCAGGCCUAACACAUGCAAGUCGAACGAGUGGCGGACGGGUGAGUAAUGUCUGGGAAUCUGCCCGAUGGAGGGGGAUAACUACUGGAAACGGUAGCUAAUACCGCAUACUAUCGGAUGUGCCCAGAUGGGAUUAGCUAGUAGGUGGGGUAAAGGCUCACCUAGGCGACGAUCCCUAGCUGGUCUGAGAGGAUGACCAGCCACACUGGAACUGAGACACGGCCCAGACUCCUACGGGAGGCAGCAGUGGGGAAUAUUGCACAAGGGGCGCAAGCCUGAUGCAGCCAUGCCGCGUGUAUGAAGAAGGCCUUCGGGUUGUAAAGUACUUUCAGCGAGGAGGCGUUACUCGCAGAAGAAGCACCGGCUAACUCCGUGCCAGCAGCCGCGGUAAUAC